rnacentral:rRNA from 1 species
CCUGCCCAAUGACUGCCAAUAAUCUAAUAAAAAUCAGUUCAAUGGCCGCGGUAACUCUGACCGUGAUAAAGUAGCAUAAUCACUUGUCACUUAAUUGGUGACUGGAAUGAAUGGCUAAACGAAUCCUCCUCUGUCUCUGAAGAAAUCCUGGCAAAUUUGAAAUAGCAGUGAAGAUGCUGCUAAAUAAUUGUAAGACGAAAAGACCCUAUCGAGCUUUACUGGAAUCUUGCAAAGUAACAUAGUUAUUAAAGACAAAAUUAUACAAAUUGCAAGCCCGACAGUUUGGUUGGGGCGACCACCCCUAAAAACGUAUCAGGGGAACUCUAAAGGCUGUCAUAAUAUGAAAAACCGCCUUACUGGAGACAAACAAGUCAAUCAGUUAUAAUUUAUAGGACAUAUUGACCCGUUAUUUAGCUUCACAACAAAUAACGACUAUGAAAAAAGUUACCGUAGGGAUAACAGGGUAAUAUUUUCAGAGAGUUCAUAUCGAUGAAAAUGUUUGCCACCUCGAUGUUGAAUUAUGAUAUCC